CCUUCUCGGGGAGCUCCGGCUUCCCGAGGAGCAAAACCACCGCUCCCCACCAGCAGGCUGGGGCUCUGGCGGGGUCCACAGGCGAAUUCAAACCCAAGGCCACGACUCCAACUCGGGAGGAGCCUUGACACCCGUGCCUGAGAGCGACCCCCGCACCAGACCAGCACACGAGCCCGACAAGGAAUUAUAAUGUCAUCACCAUGGAAAAAAUUAAC